GGACAUCACUGUGCUCAUUGUGAAAACAGACAAGGAGGCGAAUGCAAUUGCAUCAAGUCUAGUGCUCCAUGGUGGUAAGCCUGACGUCGAUGAGAAUGUGGGAGUCAUCAUCGGAGCAGUUGUUGGUGCCAUAAUAGGAGUGGCACUGGUUGCUUUUCUGGUCAUAUACUGCAUGAGGAAGAAGGAGCCAGAAA